rnacentral:rRNA from 1 species
GACGAACGCUGGCGGCGUGCCUAACACAUGCAAGUCAACUUGACUGAAGGAGCAAUCUGACAGUAGAGUGGCGCAAGGGUGCGUAACGCGUAAGUAACUUGCCCAAGGUAAGGAAUAACGUCGAGAAAUCGGCGCUAAUACCUCAUAAUGCAGCGGACCCGCAUGGAUAUGUUGUUAAAGGUUUACCGCCUUGGGAUAGGCUUGCGUCUGAUUAGCUAGUUGGUGUGGUAACGGCACACCAAGGCUACGAUCAGUAACUGGUCUGAGAGGAUGAUCAGUCACACUGGAACUGAGACACGGUCCAGACUCCUACGGGAGGCAGCAGUGAGGAAUAUUGGGCAAUGCUCGAAAGAGUGACCCAGCAACGCCGCGUGGAGGAUGAAGGUAUUCUAUAUCGUAAACUCCUGUGAGAGCAGACGAAAGACAGAUUAUUAAUCUGGAUGACUGUAUGCUCAGAGGAAGCCCCGGCUAACUACGUG